rnacentral:sRNA from 1 species
AUCCUUUUACUCAACGCUUACAUUUUUUUUUUCGUUUUUUUUUUCCUUUUUUCU